CUUGGAUGGUCCCCGAGGUGUUCACUCGUAGGUUUAUCUCCCCUUUAGUAGUUUCACAUGCCAUGUUGGAUCCGUUUAAAAUCUGGAUUGCAUGCACUAUUUGGUCUUGUAGACCCAACGACUCUACGAGCCUCGAUCUGAUGAUGUUGGCAGAGAUACCUGGAUCAAUAAACACACGUUUAACUCGAGAUUUAUUUACAAGUAAUGAUAUUACUAGUGUGUCAUUAUGUGGUUGCACGAUGCCCUCAACAUCCUCAUCGUUGAACAAAAUGGUCCCCUUCGGGAUAUAAUCUCGGCUUCAUUUUUCCGUUGUGAGAGACACCUUGGUGCGCUUUAUCAUUGGUCCCUAGGGUACGUCGACUCCACCAAUAAUCAUGUUGAUGACGUGCUGAGGUUCCUCUUGUUCGGUAUGUUUGUUUGAGUCCCCAUUCCUAGAGUGAUUUUUGGCCCGAUCACUCAGAAAAGGUCACGCCCCAAACCUGAAGAGGCAUGACCGACACCCGGUGCCAUACUUGUUCGAGCGUACCACUCUGUAACUAUAAAAUCUUGAAGGGUAACCCUCAACUUAGGCCGAUGAGGCCAUAUUAUGAAUCUUCUGAAAAAUAACGUCUCUCUCAUUGUGGGGUAAACAUACCCAAAAGCUGAUAUAUAUAAUUGUGCACGCUGACAAAGCCACCAUGAACAUCUACUAUUAUACAAAAUAUACCGGACUCGUCUACAAGCCACUAGACAUAAUUAAACUGUAUCAUGGUCAGGACAGGGCCUCGACCUACCCAUCAAACCUGUAUAUAUAAAAUGGACUCUAAGGUCUUGCUUGACCUAGUAACUCUGAGGAAGUGGAGCUUACCAACCAAGCUGAUGUUUGACUCUGUCUGCUGGGAGGGUAUAUCCAACUAUUAAUCAGGACCUGCAUGCAUGAAAUAUAGCAUCCCCGACAAAAGGGAUGCCAAUACGAAAUAAUGUACAGAGUAUGUAAGAAAAUACAAUAAUUGGAAGUUGUUAUUGAACUGAUAAUAUAAUAACUAAACGUAACUGGCAGUCAAAGAUAAUAUAAAGAUAUGCUUACCUACUGAUACUGACUCAACUCUCUCAAUAUAGUAAGUAAAAUAGAUGUCCGGCCCUAUAAGGCUCGAUGUGUGUAACUGCUCUGCCGUAGUAGGCUCGCUCAUAGGCGCUCAACCAUACUAGGCUCUGUAUCUUGGCCAUUUUGGGCUCGCUCAUAAGCGCUCGGCCACAAUAGGCUCGGUAUAUAACUUACCAUCUGAUCAGAAGUUGCCCAAUAGGGGCCUGCCCAUCGAUUAUAGCUCGAUGGUGGUGAAAAUACUGUAAUACUGUAUAUAUAAAUACUCCCUGCUCUCUUAGCUAAAAGAAUCCAGAACUAUACUGAAUAUAAAGUCCCGAUAAGAGAGAAUACGGUAGCUUAUGAGACUAGGAUAAUGUACAUAAAUUCAGUAAUACGAACAUCUAUUUUUGCCUCAUUAUCAAAAGUAUGUAGUUACAAGAUUAUGCCAAAAUGAAGGAAAGGUUUAUACUUAACAUACCUUAACUCUAUUGAGUCCUUAAUACCUUUCAAGCAAUUCUUCAAACAACUCAACUCAAUCUACCACAUCAUAAGGAGAUUCAAAAUCAGUGCUGAGUAAAGGCUAAGUCAACAACUUAAACUAGUAGCUCGUUUAUGUAACUUUGGGCAACAUCUCCCCUAUAACAAGGCCCUCCUCCAAUACUAUAUACCAAAAACACAAGAAAACAACAAUAAUAACAUGUAUGCAUCAUUUUUCAACCUUAUCUCCAUCAAAAUAUACCACAAAACAGUCCAAACCCCCUAAUCACUUCAUACAUAAAACGACAACCAAAGUAGUGUCAAACAACUUAAAAAAUGUAACAACGAAUGACCAGCCCACCAUUCUGUCAUUAUGUGGUUUUUCUCCACACCUUUUAUCCUUCAAAACUCCAUAAAACAUAAGCACAAGAGGCCAACACGAGUGGACUACGAAACAGUCUACUAAAAGUUAAAUAAAUUGAACUCACGGUUUCCGAUCACCGUCCCAUGAGUUCUAGCUAUUAGGAAACAAAUUUAUCAACCUUACUUGACAUUUAAAAUAAUAAAUACAGAAAUUAGGCAUUUAUUAACUAUGAACUACCUUCCAAAACUCAAACUACAUAUAAAAAGACAGGCGAUAUAGCGAUACUUACGUCGUAGGGAUCGUUCUAAUAUUUUCGCUUCUUGAUUUCGUACCCGGGAUGUUAAUCUUCUUUGAAAACCUUGUAGAGAGCUUAAGGGUAAGUUUUUAGGGGUUAUAUGGUCAUGUUCUAUGAAAAAUGAAGAGAAAGACAAUUUAAAACCCUAUAUAUAUCAACGUUUAAAAAGACAAAGAGGUGCUAGCUUGGCACCCUAGCAUUGGCCCUUAUUCUGAUGCUCAUAUCUUUUUAUCCGGAUGCUGUAUGAACAAAUGGUUAAGAGAGUUAGAAACUAAAUUACAUGGCCUUCAAUUUGGUAUAUAAUAUGUACCAAAAAUUCCUCAUAUAACACACGAAAUAUAUUGCUCAAAAAGCUUCAGUGACACACCUACUUGUCAUCUAUACAGUCUAUGCAGUCUCGCGAAACUGCACAUAUCCCUCUACUCCAAUGUCGUAUCGACAAACGAUUUAAUGCAUUAGAAACUAGACUUAUAGGUAGGCAAUUUUAUAUGUGGAUCAUCCCGUAAUUCCAAGUACAUUAGGAGAAAUGCUCAGCUAUAUUUGACCUAAUUUUCAGCAUAUCUAUGAAUGUAACUUGUGAUGAUCUUUGCCAACUUUUGUUCCACAAUUCGCUUGACUUCAAAAUAUAACACACAGCUAUCAUACAACGAAAAUAACUCAUAACAUAACUUCCUUAUCAUUUUGAGCACCCUAGUCUCACCCCAAAAGUACAUGUUAUUGUCACACCUCCUUUUUCCUACCCGCGGAAGGAGUAUAAGAGAGUUUUUCCAAUUUAAGUAACAAUCGAAAUGAGAUUAUUUUAUUUAAAAUCAGAGUCGCCACUUGAGAUAAUUUAUGGUGUCCCAAGUCACCAGUUUUAAAUCCUGAAUCGAGGAAGUUUGACUCUAUUUAUGGUCUGCGAACACAGAAAUCUGGAUAAGGAAUUCUGUUAACCCGGGAGAAGGUGUUAGGCAUUCCCGAGUUUCUUGGUUCUAGUACGGUCGCUUUGAUCAUACUUGGCUUAAUCAAAUUGUUUAAUUACUGAUUUUAGAACCUAUGUGCAUUUGCCUCUUUUAAUUAAGAAAUUAUCUUGAAAAGGGUCACGCGUAUGUGUACCCAUUUGUUUGGUGCGCCAAAAAUCAUGUUACGCGAACGUGUCCACAAUUAAUAACGCUUUAUUAUUAUUAAGAAAGGUUUGGCCGAAGUUGCGCGAACGCAUACUCCGGUUUUAUUUUAAGAAGCAAAAUUAUGUCACGCAAACGUGUACGCAAUCACGAUGGUAUAUUAAACGGGCCUAAAGCAACAACGAGCAUCCAAAAAGGUUAAUUAAUUUCCUAAGAAACAAUAUGACUGGCAGAGGUUCUAAUUAAGGAAAUCCACUAAUAAUCUUACCCGUGAUUCCAAUUGGAUCAAGGAAAUAUUUUUUCUCCUUCACAUUAGAAGACAAAUAUUAUCAGAUGUAUUGCUAUUAACAUUUAUAAACUUAACAUCAUCUGGAAGCAACAAGGAUUUGAAAAAAACAAAUUACUUUCACAUUCAUGAUUAUUUCACAAUUAAUAAAUGAAGGAAUGCUAAUCUAUGUCCAGCCAAAUAAUACAGCUUGCAAAAAAAGAUAAGAUCUUAUCUUACGUUUGAAAUACAGAAGUACAACAAAAAACUAACACAUCCUCAAAUCAAAACAAUAUAACAUUAAUCCAAACAUUUCAUAUAACAGAGAACAACAAAGUUGAUGGAAGUACACUAUUAAGCAAAACAGAGUAUGAAACAUGAGGAACCAAACCUCAAAAUGGAUCAAUACAUUAGUUGUGCGGCAACUUUAAACUCAGACACGACAAACCAUGGACAGAGCUGAAACGGAACCCAUGAACAACGACCACGGACAACCUUGAAGCUCGCCGGAAUUAUCGAACUAGACCAGAAUGACAAAAACUAAACUCCUGGCUAGAUUUUGAGUUUCUUUGGGAUUAAUUUUGGGGUUGUACUGAUCUGGUUUUGAAAGACGCCUGUUGGUGGUGAAAGAACGGCAGAGUUGCUCAUUUUCUGGCGAGCUAGGUUGAAGACGAUGACUGCUGCUAUGGUGCUUUGGAGUCGAGGUCGCUGGUUUUGUUGAGGAAAGAAAACAGAACGGAUCCCAGCUCCUUUAAACUCAGGCGUUUUUCAUCUGCUAGGUUGAAGGAAGGAGAUGAUUUUAGUGGUCGUUUUUGUUGUGUGUGGUCGUUUGGAGGUUAGCAACGACACUAGGUUAUAAUGGUAGUCGUUGUGGGGUGAAGGAGACGGGGGUCUCUUCUCUGAAAACGGCGCAGCCUUUUGUCCCUAGGUCUUUAGGAAUUUCCUUUUCUAUUUUUGUCUCCCCUCCUUCGGUCUAUUUAUUUCUCAUUGCUACUAUGCUUGUGCUUUUAUAUAUUGUUAUAUCUUGGCGAGAAAGCUAGUGUUUGGUCCUCCUUAAAAAGAGAAUGCUAAAAAUUAAAAUUGUGACCAAAAGGAAUCAAUUCUAUUAUGGAUGAAAAGACUACACGUGAUUUUGAGAGGAUAUGGAGGAAAAUCA
rnacentral:lncRNA from 1 species